rnacentral:tRNA from 1 species
GGAGAGUUGUCCGAGAGGCUGAAGGAGCAUGAUUGGAAAUCAUGUAGAUGGUGCAAACUGUCUCAAGGGUUCGAAUCCCUUACUCUCCG